ensembl:snoRNA
AUCCUCUCAGCAAUGGGCAAAGAAAUACCUUGUAGGUGGUGCUGAUCUUAUAUUUGUUAGGGGAAGAGCACGUAGCAGUCCUUUGUUCAUCCUAGACUGAUGCCUAGUUUGGUGGCCAGUGCUAUUUUAUAGCUAGGACAUAUAG